rnacentral:lncRNA from 1 species
GAAAGAACAGUGAUCCUCUUCAACAGCUCCCUCUCCAAGGGAUAAACACAUCUAGAGUUUAAAUCCUGGCCCAGCAAAGAGAAGGGCUCUGGACCUGAGAUCAUCCAUCAUGGACAACCUCUCUGCCAAGAAAAGCCCAGGGCUACUUCCUUAGGAAGGGUCUUUGGACCAGGGCAUUUCAGCAAGAAGGGGAAAAUUGGACAUGACUGGCACUUAAACAAACCCAACAGGUGCAGACUGUAAAUUGGCAAAGUGACAUCAUCAGUAGAAAAUCAGACUACAGAAAUCGAGAAGCUUGGCAUAGCCCUUCUCUUUCCAGUCCACUUGACCUGGUGCUAACCACACAACUGCCUUAAGCCUUAAUUUUCUCAUGGAGAUGGAAAUGGGUUAUUGGGAAAUUCAAAUCAGAUAAUUUACGUGAAAAUAUGUUAUAAUCUCUGAGAUGUAAAGCGUGACCACCAGAGUUUAAAAAGAAUAGAAGCAAGAAGACAAGCUGAGUCACUAACUUGCCAGGGAAGUGAACACACUCCAGGGAAGAAAUUCACUCAAUGGAGGAACCUUGAAACAGUAAGGAAUUCAGCUUCAUAUAUCAGAGAAGAAAUAAAUUUCAAGAGAGCCAGCAUUCUACCUUCGGGCAAGAAGAUUUUAUUCCCAUUUGGCAGAUGGAAUAGCUGAGGUCCAGGAAAGUUAAAUAUCUUGGUGUCAAUGUCUCCAGUCAUGUAAAUGGUGGAAGCUUUUUUUUUAAUUCAGUACUAUCACAUAUAACAUACCACAUGGCUUGUAUCAGUCAGACUAGCCCCAAAUUUCAAUGUCUUACAUCAGUGAAGGUUUUCUAUUUGUAGCCCAUGCUACCUCAUCCAGGGCUGUGCGUUUGGUUUAGAUGUUUUUAUUCACAGGUGCAGACUGAUUGAGAUACAUCUAUUACUAGUUCCAUUGCAGAAGAAAAAAGAAAAAAGAAAUUAUGAAAAGGCAUAUGCUGGUUCCCAAGCCUUUGCUAGGAAAUUACACUUAUCACUUCUGCCCAUUUCAUGGCCAAAGCAACAUGCAUGGGGAUUGAAGAGGAGAACAUAUUACUUCUAGCUGUGGAUUUGGCAAGGUUUCCUGGAGGAAAUAGGAUUUGAGCUAGAUCCUAUAAUACAAAUGGAUUUGAUAGAUUUGGGGCAAAUGGAGACUUUAGUAAACUCAUUUUUCUUAAAUAAUUAUGUUUCAUAUUGGGCCUGCUUAGAUUUUCAACAGUUCUAUACGUUAAUGUAUGUGGUUGAGAGAUGUUUUGUAAGUAGGUGAACUGAGGCAUCAGGAUGCUAAAACAAAGUUCAUGUUUAUGUGAAAAAAAAAAAGGAUGUAAAAAUUGGAAAACAAAUCUCAGUUGUCCACUUCUGUUCUGUUUUUUGACCCAAUAUCUUCACUAAACUUUAGCUCCCAAAGAAAUAUCUGUUGGUACAGGGAGUAACCGUGUACUACUUUUGCCCAUUAGAGUACUGUAGUAUCUUAAAAGAAGAUCAUAGAAUCAGGUACAUGCUUAGACUCAGGUUCUUCCAUCUGUCUCUGGGGAAUCAAACACGCUAUAAAUAGAGGGUGAGAUUUUCCUGGCUUUGGCCAAUGUAAUUACUUUUGUUCCGGAAAUCAACAGGGUGGGACCUAGAUGGCCCUUCACUCCCCAGCCAAGUCACUGCUAACAAGUGAGACUAAAUUGCUUUUCUCUCCUUCAUUCAUGUGGCUCCAUCUGUGUAGGCCAAAUAGAUUAACCUCUAAUAUCUCAAAACAGAUGUCUGUUGUUGGAAUUGUCAUAUGUGUACAACAUGUUCCACAAGUCGGUAGGGAUAUUUUGGGCCCCAGGGUGUGUAGCAACAUCAUCUGGGUGGGGUUUUCCAAACAAUCAGUGUGGGUGAGGGUGUGAUGCUGGCAAGGGUUUAUUCUAUGUAGCACCUUCCUCAAUGGGAGAACCAUGUACAGGAAACUAUGCCAGGUGACUCCAAGGGAAGAAAAUGAAUGCAUUUGAAGUUUAAUGUGUAUAUUAGUCAAGGCUUGGUCAGGAAAACCAAAACCAUACCAGCUAUUUUAACAGAAUGUACUUAACGUAGGAAAUUGGGUGAGUACGAAAAGGCAAAACAGAAACAUUAAUGCAACAGACAGAGUAAAUACAGGGACGGCUAUCUGUCCUACUUUUUGCAGGAAAGUCCUGCAAAGCUGCAACCCAGGCCCUUGAGAUGGUGGUGCUUUCUAACUAUUCCUGAUUCCUCAGAAAUGCAAACAAGUGGCCCUGUAGAGCUGAUACUCAGAACUAUGACCCAUUGGUGCUGGUACCCAUAAAGGACUGCACUGAACUAUUCCUCGGAGCAUGAGGGAAAAGGCAACUGGAACAUUUAACUGCCUUUAAUGUGGAUACCAGGGCCCCACUCCAGACCUGUUAACUCAAAAUCUUAGAGUGGGUAGUCCAUGCAUGUAUAUUUUUAAUAAUCUUUUUAACUACUUAUCAAUGUUGUCAACACAAGCAGGACCGUCAUGCCCUCAGCCUCUUUCCCAAAGGAUUUUCAGAUGUUCUAAAGUGAUUUUGUAUGUCUAUGAAUUAUCUCCAGUUGUGCUGACCUAACCGGCAACUGGUGGUACAUAUAUAACAAUAUAUUUGAGCUGUCAUCAGCCAUACCUUUUCUCAGUGGAUACUAGAUAGUCAAUUGCAAGAUCUGUCUCGGUCACCUUGCCAACAUUAUUUCCAGUGCUUGCAUCAAUCCGGGGAAUUAGCCAGGGGGUAAUUAAUUAACCAUUCACUUAGUGCGUCUUAUGCACCAAAAAAAUAGGCUAGGAACAAACAUCCAACUUAAAUAAAAACCAGCACAGUCUUGGCGCUUUUGUGGCUUUCAUCUGGUGGGAGGGAUUAGCAUUAACAACAAUAACCAGAACACAUUAAUCAAUAUGCAAUUGCAAAUCUAGGUACAGUUUAAGAAGAAAAACAGGAUAUUAUGAUAAUUAUUUGCAAAAAUGACCCUAAUUGUUCCACUCAAUAUAACCACACAACUUGUAACAUGACUUUGCAGCUCCUCUCAUUGACAGGUAAAGUCUAUUUCUUCAUCCCCUUUAAAUAUGAGCUGGCCUUGCUUUAGCCAGCUCGCGAGACUUGCUUUAGCCAAUAGAACCUUGUGGAAAGGCAUUGAGUAAUGGAAGCAACCCAAGUGUCUAUCAAUGGAUGAAUGGAUAAGCAAAAUGCAGUAUCCACAUAAAAUAGACUAUUAUUCAGCGAUAAAAAGGCGAGAAAUUCUGAAGUAUACUACAACCUUGAGAAUAUUGUGCUAAGUGAAAUAAGCCAGUCACAAAAAGACAAAUAUUUUAUUAUUCUACUUGUAUGAGGUACUUAGAGAGGUCAAAAUCAUAGAGACAGAAAGUAGAAUGGUGAUUGCCAAAGGCUGCAAGAACAAGAGAAUGGGGAGUUGACGGGUAUGGAGUUUGAGUUUUGUAAGAUGAACAGAAUUCUGGAGAUGGAUGGUGGUGAUGUUUGCCUAAUAAUAUGACUAUAUUUAAUAUUACUGAACUUUACACUUAAAAAUGGUUAAGAUAGUAAAUUUUACAUUAUAGGUAUUUUAGCACAAUACAAAUGAAAAAAAAAACCUAAAAAAAAUUUUCUCCUGAAUUAUCUGAUUCUGAUUCUAUGAGGGGCUCUGGACCUUUCAUUGCUUUAAGCUAUUUCAUAAUCCUGUGCAGAGCAAUUUUAUAACUCUGUAUGCUGUACAGCACUAAAGGCAAUGCAAUUAAUUCUUGUCUGUACACAUGCAAAUAAAUUUUAUAUGUGGAUGAACAACCCCUUUCCUGUGAAAAAGCCAGAUUUGAGCAAAUUGCAAUUUCAUUUCUGUGUAUUCAGUAUACUUGACCAAUAGUCUAUUAUUUUGAUUUGUACUCAUUUUUUACAGCUUUA